AUUGAACGCUGGCGGCAGGCCUAACACAUGCAAGUCGAACGGUAACAGGAAGAAGCUUGCUUCUUUGCUGACGAGUGGCGGACGGGUGAGUAAUGUCUGGGAAACUGCCUGAUGGAGGGGGAUAACUACUGGAAACGGUAGCUAAUACCGCAUAACGUCGCAAGACAAAAGAGGGUGACCUUCGGAACUCUUGCCAUCGGAUGUGCACAGAUGGGAUUAGCUAGUAGGUGGGGUAACGGCUCACCUAGGCGACGAUCCCUAGCUGGUCUGCGUGGAUGACCAGCCACACUGGAACUGAGACACGUUCCAGACUCCUACGGGAGGCAGCAGUGUGGAAUAUUGCACAAUAGGCUCAAGCCUGAUGCAGACAUGCCGCGUGUAUGAAGAAGGCCUGCGGUUUGUAAAGUACUUUCAGCGGGGAGGAAGGGUGUAAAGUUAAUACCUUUGCUCAUUGGCGUUACCCGCAGAAGAAGCACCGGCUAACUCCGUG
rnacentral:rRNA from 1 species